rnacentral:rRNA from 1 species
AUGGAGCACAUUCGGCAGAUCGUCACCUUGUGGGCUCGGUUGCGAGUCAUUCCUAUAUCGGAGGACACGGAGGACACAAUUACUUGGAAGCACACUCUUGAUGGAGCUUACUAUGCCACUUCUGCGUACAAGGCGCAACUUCUUGGGACGGUUCGUUCGUCCAUGCACUUCGCGGUUUGGAAGGCUUGGGCGCCACCCAAGAUGAAAUUUUUCGCUUGGCUUGCGAUUCAAAACCGUAUCUGGACGGCGGAUAGAUUACAGAAANNNNNNNNNNUUUUUUCUUAUUUUUGUUUCGUUUUCACUCUACCUUUUCAUACAUGUCAAAAACAUUUUUUUAACAAGUGA